rnacentral:rRNA from 1 species
AUGGACCAAUACAAUCAAUCUACAACGAUGAUCACGGUAAUGAUGAAGUCAUAUUUGAAGAAGAUACAAAUGAGGAUGAAUACAUGUUCUUUGGUGAAGAAGAGAAUGAGGAAGUGGAAAUUGAAAUCAAGGAAGACGAGGAACUUCACAAUCCUGAUUCGUAUGAUUUUGUCUACAGCAACAUACCAAAGAACACACACGUGUAAAACGGAAGAAAAUUGCAGGUUCUGCAACGCAACAAAAUUCAAGUAUGAAUCUAAAGGGUUAUGCUGCAAGAAAGGGCAAAUAAGACUAGCCAAUCCAGAUACACCACCUGAACUCAUGAGACUUUGGACAAGCAACAAUUCUGAAGCAAGGCAUUUUCGGAACAAUAUAAGAUUUUUCAAUGGACACUUCUCAUUUACUACUCUAUUGUAA